CUGCUAUCAAGAGUGUCCGUUAAGUUCCUGUCUUCACCACAAUAGAUGUGCUAAGGGAAGUACUGGACUUACAAUUCAUUUAGACUUUGAAGAACCAUAGCAUUUUAAUGGUUCUGGAGUUAUCUGAAACAUUAUUAGAGAGAAAAAGAGAGAGAGAGAUGAAGCGUGUGUGAUCACCUGUUGGCACUCCCAAGCAGAUAUGCUGUCAGCGUUCUGAAGAGUGACAAAUACUGGUAGAUAUUCCCGAAAGCUGCUGGACUCCUGAGGGUUGGGGAAAGCCCAGCGGGAGAGACUAGUUGAGGGGCUGCUCUCUCUUGGCCUUGCCUCAUCUCUGUUAUUCUUGCUUACCUG